GAGCUGACACGUGUUGUAUUGCAGGUGGACGUGUGCGCGCGCUCGGCGCCCGUCACGCGAAUCAGCGGCCACGUUAAUGUCACCGUCAACAGUGUUCCCGCUCUCAAGCUGGCUAUCCGGCGACACGCGCCCACCGUUGUGAUCGUCGACGCGACAGCCAAAAGCUUCACCACUUACUCCAAGGGAGUGCUGUACGACGAACGCUGCGGCAAGUCGCGCCGGCCGCUGAACCACGCGGUGCUGGCGGUGGGGUGGGGCGAGCGGCGCGGCGAGCCGCACUUCAUCCUCAAGAACUCGUGGUCGAGCGCGUGGGGCGAGGGCGGCUACGUGCGCGUGCAGGCGCGCGGCAACACGUGCGGCGUGCUCAGCCGCCCCUCCUACCCGCGCCUCGAGCGCGAGGACGUGCUGCGCGCCCCGCCGCCCGCGCCCUCGCCCUCGCCCGCCUUUCCCACACAGCCAGAAGACACCUGAGCCGAGCCUGCUAUAAAUAAUGUGCCAUUUUUGAAAUAGUAAAGAUUCCUUAUAAAA